rnacentral:rRNA from 1 species
UUGAGAGCUUGCUCAAGAACAAUAUGCGAACACUUUGGGAUAGCGGCGAACGGGUGAGUAACGUGUGGGCAACCUACCCUAUAGUCUGGGAUAACCUGUGGAAACAUGGGCUAAUACCGGAUAAUGUCCCCCGAUGGCAUCAUCGGAGGAGCAAAGGAAUUUAUUUCGCUAUUGGAUGGGCCCACAUUCUAUUAGCUAGUUGGCGGGGUAACGGCCCACCAAGGCUCUGAUGGAUAGCCGGUCUGAGAGGAUGAACGGCCACACUGGAACUGAGACACGGUCCAGACUCCUACGGGAGGCAGCAGUGAGGAAUUUUCCGCAAUGGGCGAAAGCCUGACGGAGCAACGCCGCGUGAGGGAUGAAGGCUUUCGGGUCGUAAACCUCUUUCAGCAGGGACGAAGCCGUAAGGUGACGGUACCUGCAGAAGAAGCCCCGGCCAACUACGUGCCAGCAGCCGCGGUAAGACGUAGGGGGCAAGCGUUGUUCGGAAUCAUUGGGCGUAAAGCGCUCGUAGGCGGUCGAUUAAGUCGGAUGUGAAAACCCAGGGCUCAACCCUGUGCCUGCAUUCGAAACUGAUCGACUUGAAUCCAGAAGAGGCAAGUGGAAUUCCCGGUGUAGCGGUGGAAUGCGCAGAUAUCGGGAAGAACACCAGUGGCGAAGGCGGCUUGCUGGGAUGUGAUUGACGCUGAGGAGCGAAAGCUAGGGGAGCAAACAGGAUUAGAUACCCUGGUAGUCCUAGCCGUAAACGAUGGACACUAGGUGUGGGGGGCCGUUGACGCCUCCCGUGCCGCAGCUAACGCAUUAAGUGUCCCGCCUGGGGAGUACGGCCGCAAGGCUAAAACUCAAGGAAUUGACGGGGGCCCGCACAAGCGGUGGAGCAUGUGGCUUAAUUCGACGCAACGCGAAAACCUUACCAGGGCUUGACAUGUUAGCGAAAGCCUAUGGAAACAUAGCCCCUCUUCGGGCGCUAUCAAAGUGGGGUGCAUGGUGUCGUCAGCUCGUGCCGAGAGAGGGUGUUGGGUUAAGUCCCGCACGAGCGCACCCUGUUCU